rnacentral:rRNA from 1 species
UACGUAGGGGGCAAGCGUUGUCCGGAUUUAUUGGGCGUAAAGAGCGUGUAGGCGGCCAGAUAAGUCCGCUGUGAAAUCUCGAGGCUCAACUUCGAGCUGUCGGUGGAAACUGUCUGGCUAGAGUCCGGAAGAGGAGAAUGGAAUUCCUGGUGUAGCGGUGAAAUGCGCAGAUAUCAGGAAGAACACCCGUGGCGAAGGCGGUUCUCUGGGACGGUACUGACGCUGAGACGCGAAAGCCAGGGGAGCGAACGGG